GACGUAGGGCGCAAGCGUUGUCCGGAUUUAUUGGGCGUAAAGAGCUCGUAGGCGGUCUGUCGCGUCGACCGUGAAAACCCGCAGCUCAACUGCGGGCUUGCGGUCGAUACGGGCAGGCUGGAGUUCGGUAGGGGAGAGUGGAAUUCCUGGUGUAGCGGUGAAAUGCGCAGAUAUCAGGAGGAACACCGGUGGCGAAGGCGGGUCUCUGGGCCGAUACUGACGCUGAGGAGCGAAAGCGUGGGGAGCGAACAGG
rnacentral:rRNA from 1 species